CCUACGGGAGGCAGCAGUAGGGAAUAUUGCUCAAUGGGGGAAACCCUGAAGCAGCAACGCCGUGUGGGGGAUGAAGGUUUUCGGAUUUUAAACUCCUUUUGUUAGAGAAGUUAUUGACGGUAUCUAACGAAUAAGCCCCGGGCAACUCCGUGCCAGCAGCCGCGGUAAUACGGAGGGUGCAAGCGUUACUCGGAAUCACUGGGCGUAAAGAGCGCGUAGGCGGGAUAGCAAGUCAGAUGUGAAAUCCUAUGGCUUAACCAUAGAACUGCAUUUGAAACUGUUAUUCUAGAGUAUGGGAGAGGUAGGUGGAAUUCUUGGUGUAGGGGUAAAAUCCGUAGAGAUCAAGAGGAAUACUCAUUGCGAAGGCGACCUGCUAGAACAUAACUGACGCUGAUGCGCGAAAGCGUGGGGAGCAAACAGGAUUAGAUACCCGGGUAGUC
rnacentral:rRNA from 1 species